rnacentral:rRNA from 1 species
UACAGAGGUCUCAAGCGUUUGUUCGGAUUCAUUGGGCGUAAAGGGUGCGUAGGCGGCGCGGUAAGUCGGGUGUGAAAUCUCGGGGCUUAACUCCGAAACUGCAUUCGAUACUGCCGUGCUUGAGGACUGGAGAGGAGACUGGAAUUUACGGUGUAGCGGUGAAAUGCGUAGAUAUCGUAAGGAAGACCAGUGGCGAAGGCGGGUCUCUGGACAGUUCCUGACGCUGAGGAC